rnacentral:rRNA from 1 species
ACAUCCUGGGGCUGAAGCCGGUCCCAAGGGUAUGGCUGUUCGCCAUUUAAAGUGGUACGCGAGCUGGGUUUAGAACGUCGUGAGACAGUUCGGUCCCUAUCUGCCGUGGACGUUUGAGAUUUGAGAGGGGCUGCUCCUAGUACGAGAGGACCGGAGUGGACGAACCUCUGGUGUUCCGGUUGUCACGCCAGUGGCAUUGCCGGGUAGCUAUGUUCGGAAAAGAUAACCGCUGAAAGCAUCUAAGCGGGAAACUUGCCUCAAGAUGAGAUCUCACUGGAACCUUGAGUUCCCUAAAGGGCCGUCGAAGACUACGACGUUGAUAGGUUGGGUGUGUAAGCGCUGUGAGGCGUUGAGCUAACCAAUACUAAUUGCCCGUGAGGCUUGACCAUAUAACACCCAAGCAAUU